rnacentral:rRNA from 1 species
GAGGAAUAUUGCACAAUGGGCGAAAGCCUGAUGCAGCAACGCCGCGUGAGGGACGAAGGCCUUCGGGUCGUAAACCUCUUUUCUGGGGGACGAGUAAGGACGGUACUCCAGGAAUAAGUCUCGGCUAACUACGUGCCAGCAGCCGCGGUAAAACGUAGGAGGCGAGCGUUAUCCGGAUUUACUGGGCGUAAAGCGUACGCAGGUGGCUUCGUUAGUCGGACAUGAAAGCUCCUGGCUUAACUGGGAGAGGUUGUUCGAUACUGCGGGGCUUGAGGUUGGGAGAGGGACGUGGAAUUCCCGGUGUAGUGGUGGAAUGCGUAGAUAUCGGGAGGAACACCAGUGGCGCAAGCGGCGUCCUGGCCCACACCUGACGCUGAGGUACGAAAGCGUGGGUAGCAAACA